UAGAAUGUGGUGUAUUUUGGUAGCACGAGGAAUUUUGAAUUCCUAGGAAUAGGUUCAAUACCUUUGGUUCUAG
rnacentral:tRNA from 1 species